UUUCUAUAAAAUAUAUCUAUAGGGCUUUGUUUUGUAGUAACUUUCUACACAUUAUACAAAUUAUAUCUAUAGGGCUUUGUUUUGUAUUUUCCAUACUUGAAGUUAAUGGAUCCCCUUCAGAAGAUAUAAAUUAGUCCACUGUGUUUGCUUUUUGAUAUGAAGGUUGAAAUAGGCACAAUUUAUUAUAUGCUAUCUGUCUGUCCAUCUGUUAGUCCUAGCACAUCUAAUGAUUUCUACAGACAUUAGUGAAAAUGGCAAGGGUGUAUUUAAGGCAGAUAGCAGAAGAAUCAAUAGAUUUAUUAUUUGAUCUUUGGCUUUGAACUAGCUUCCAGUAACUAUGAGUACUCUUAGACUAGGGUUUUGUUUCUUUUGUCAUUUUGUUAGUUGUGUUUGUGCUAAGGUUACUGAUCUAAAGAGUCAAUAUUAGGGGUUAGGGUUAUGGGUAUAUUUACAUCUGCCAAGGUUACUGAUCUGAAGAGUCAAUUAGGGGUUAGGGUUAUGGGUAUAUUUACAUCUGCUUAGGUUACUGAUCUGAAGUGUCAAUUAGGGGUUAGAGUUAUGGGUAUAUUUACAUCUGCUUAGGUUACUGAUCUGAAGAGUCAAUUAGGGGGUUAGGGUUAUGGGUAUAUUUACAUCUGCUUAGGUUACUGAUCUGAAGAGUCAAUUAGGGGGUUAGGGUUAUGGGUAAAUUUACAUCUGCUUAGGUUACUGAUCUAAAGAGUCAAUUAGGGGUUAGGGUUAUGGGUAUAUUUACAUCUGCUUAGGUUACUGAUCUGAAGAGUCAAUUAGGGGGUUAGGGUUAUGGGUAAAUUUACAUCUGCUUAGGUUACUGAUCUAAAGAGUCAAUUAGGGGUUAGGGUUAUGGGUAUAUUUACAUCUGCUUAGGUUACUGAUCUGAAGAGUCAAUUAGGGGUUAGGGUUAUGGGUAUAUUUUCAUCUGCUUAGGUUACUGAUCUGAAGAGUCAGUUAGGGGUUAGGGUUAUGGGUAUAUUUACAUCUGCUUAGGUUACUGAUCUGAAGAGUCAAUUAGGGGUUAGGGUUAUGGGUAUAUUUACAUCUGCUUAGGUUACUGAUCUAAAGAGUCAAUUAGGGGUUAGGGUUAUGGGUAUAUUUACAUCUGCUUAGGUUACUGAUCUGAAGAGUCAAUUAGGGGUUAGGGUUAUGGGUAUAUUUACAUCUGCUUAGGUUACUGAUCUGAAGAGUCAAUUUAAGGGUUAGGG